rnacentral:rRNA from 1 species
AUUGAACGCUGGCGGAAUGCUUUACACAUGCAAGUCGAACGGCAGCACGGACUUCGGUCUGGUGGCGAGUGGCGAACGGGUGAGUAAUGUAUCGGAACGUGCCCAGUCGUGGGGGAUAACGUAGUGAAAAUUACGCUAAUACCGCAUACGAUCUAUGGAUGAAAGCGGGGGAUCGCAAGACCUCGCGCGAUUGGAGCGGCCGAUAUCAGAUUAGGUAGUUGGUGGGGUAAAGGCCCACCAAGCCAACGAUCUGUAGCUGGUCUGAGAGGACGACCAGCCGCACUGGAACUGAGACACGGGCCAGACUCCUACGGGAGGCAGCAGUGGGGAAUUUUGGACAAUGGGCGAAAGCCUGAUCCAGCCACUCCGCGUGCAGGAUGAAGGCCCUCGGGUUGUAAACUGCUUUUGUACAGAACGAAAAGGUUUCUACUAAUACUAGGAGCUCAUGACGGUACUGUAAGAAUAAGCACCGGCUAACUACGUGCCAGCCGCCGCCGUAA